rnacentral:rRNA from 1 species
GACGUAGGGCGCGAGCGUUGUCCGGAUUUAUUGGGCGUAAAGAGCUCGUAGGCGGCUCGUCGCGUCGACCGUGAAAACUCGCAGCUCAACUGCGAGCCUGCGGUCGAUACGGGCAGGCUAGAGUUCGGUAGGGGAGACUGGAAUUCCUGGUGUAGCGGUGAAAUGCGCAGAUAUCAGGAGGAACACCGGUGGCGAAGGCGGGUCUCUGGGCCGAUACUGACGCUGAGGAGCGAAAGCGUGGGGAGCGAACAGG